rnacentral:rRNA from 1 species
GAUGAACGCUAGCGGCAGGCCUAACACAUGCAGGUCGAGGGGUAGCAGGAUUAAGCUUGCUUAAUUGCUGACGACCGGCGCACGGGUGCGUAACGCGUAUGCAACCUACCUUAUACUGGGGUAUAGCCCGGAGAAAUUCGGAUUAAUCCCCCAUAGUACUAAUGAAUCGCAUGGUUUAUUAGUUAAAGCAUUGCGGUAUAAGAUGGGCAUGCGUCCUAUUAGCUAGAUGGUGAGGUAACGGCUCACCAUGGCUACGAUAGGUAGGGGCCUGAGAGGGUGGUCCCCCACACUGGUACUGAGACACGGACCAGACUCCUACGGGAGGCAGCAGUGAGGAAUAUUGGCCAAUGGGCGCAAGCCUGAACCAGCCAUGCCGCGUGCAGGAAGAAUGCCCUAUGGGUUGUAAACUGCUUUUAUUUGGGAAUAAACCUCUUUACGUGUAGAGAGCUGAAGGUACCAAAUGAAUAAGCACCGGCUAACUCCGUGCCAGCCGCCGCGGUAA